GCUUGUUAACGUGUCACCUUCUAGUCGUACCCAAGAAAUUACAGCAGAGAAAGAAUGUGAACUAUCUGAGAAAAUUGCCAUCGCCAUGUUUAGAGCUCUGCCAUCCAUGUGUCCUUCACCUUCUCUACCCCCAACAAAGCUGGGAAACAAAACAUGAGGCAUUAGUUCAUGGCCUUAAGACCUCAGAGAAUCCUUAUGCCUUUCUACAGCAAAGACUGACCAUUGCCUAGCCCUGUCCUU